GGACAAACACUAAGGAAACGCCAAAAGUCGUAAAGAGAUGCUCCCAACAUUUCCAACUAUACGAGCAAUGAAAAAAUAGACGAGCUUGACCUUCCCUGUCCCUUAAGCAUAAAAAACAAACUGAGAGACUUACAAACUUAUUUGAUGUCGUCUUCAAAUCUUGGACCAGGAAAUCGAUAGAGUUACACACGCAAUGUCGAUAGAAUAGAAAGCACUCAACCGGAAGAGACUGAUCAAACAACACAGAGUUCUGGCACAACUAAA